CUCGGUCUCUCGGUUUCAGUUCGUGGUCCGUUCGUAGCUUGCUCUUGCAAGUCAGCCCUCUUGCAGGUCAGCCCUCUCUUUGUACCAAGUUCUCCUUUGCUCUAUCAAUGGAGGAGCCUCUUCUAUUCUGAGAAAUACCUCAAACCCACCAGCUGUUUCACUCAUUCUCAGGUUGGGGAUCGAAUUGGCAAGGAGCAUUGCAAAGGUAAUUUGCAAGAGUUGUUAAACCCAGACAAAAAACAAGAUUUUAGUAAGAGAACAACAUCAAAUACAAAUUCAUUGGAGAUGGAUAAAAGUUGGAUCCAUCUUAACA